UAAGAAUUUAACGACGUAAUAUGUCUUUAUGUAAAAUGACAGCUAAAACAGGGUUGCAAUUAUAUUUUUGCGUGACAUUGCACGCACAGCCAUUGCAAAUAAUUUUCUGCGUGUGUUUGUUGUUGUGUCGGUGCACCAAGAGGAAAUACCUGCAAUUCGUGCGCCGUGCAAGGGUUUUGCAAGAGCAAGUGAAUACCCCUAAUAUUAGAAAACGACAAUCGAUUAAUAUCUGUGAUGACCCUGCAAGACGGAGGUAACAGAUUGCACAAACACAUUGAAACAUUUUCAGCUGUUCACUAACACUGUUACAUUUUCUGGAAUUUUCAAUGGAAUGGGAGAAUACGAGAGGCGAAUACCCAAUAUUUCAAGAAGAAUAAACGAAAAGCGCAGUUUAUUUUGGAUUUUAAAGAGAGAAAACGAAAGAGGUUAACAAGGAGAAAAAGAAAUCAUUUGGACCAUUGGUAGAAUUCAAAUCUAUUGCGUGCAGCAACCAAAUAAUGGAGUAUGUUUGAAAUUAUUAAAGUUAAAUAGUGUAUAUUUAAUUCAAAUAUUUGUAAUAGAUUGUGCAUUU